rnacentral:siRNA from 1 species
GGAUGGGCUGGCCUCAUUGUCGU